rnacentral:misc_RNA from 1 species
AACACUGUUAACCUGCGGUACCUGCGGAGGGAUCAUUACAGAGUUGCAAAACUCCCUAAACCAUUGUGAACGUUACCUAAACCGUUGCUUCGGCGGGCGGCCCGGGUCCUUCCCGGCGCCCCUCGGCCCUCGCGGGCGCCCGCCGGAGGUAAACCAAACUAUUGCAUUGUAUGGCCUCUCUGAGUCUUCUGUACUGAAUAAGUCAAAACUUUCAGCAAUGGAUCUCAGAUCGGAAGAGCA